ensembl:misc_RNA Metazoa_SRP Metazoan signal recognition particle RNA
GCCGGGCAUGGUGGUGCAUGCCUGUAAUCCCAGCUACUCAGGAGGCUGAGGCAGAGGAAUUGUUUGAACCCAGGAGACAGAGGUUGCAGUGAGCUGAGAUGGCACCACUGAACUCCAGCCUGGGCAACAGAGUGAGACUCUGUCUCAA